CGGCUGUAUCCCAAUUAAACACCGUCUCUCAUUAGACCACAGAAGUUAAACAACGUCGUGCCUGGUUAGUACUUAGAUGGGUGACCACUUAGAAAUACCAGGAGAGGUA